rnacentral:rRNA from 1 species
GACGAACGCUGGCGGCGUGCUUAACACAUGCAAGUCGAACGGAACGGCCCUGCCUUUGUGGGGUGCUCGAGUGGCGAACGGGUGAGUAACACGUGAGUAACCUGCCCUUGACUUUGGGAUAACUUCAGGAAACUGGGGCUAAUACCGGAUAGGAGCUCCUGCUGCAUGGUGGGGGUUGGAAAGUUUCGGCGGUUGGGGAUGGACUCGCGGCUUAUCAGCUUGUUGGUGGGGUAGUGGCUUACCAAGGUUUUGCCGGGUAGCCGGCCUGAGAGGGUGACCGGCCACAUUGGCACUGAGAGACGGCCCAGACUCCUACGGGAGGCAGGAGGGGGUAAUAUUGAACAAUGGGCGGAAGCAUGAUGCAGCAACGCCGGGUGCGGGAUGACGGCAUUCGGGUGGUAAGCAGAUUUCGCCUGUGACGAAGCGUGAGUGACGGUAAUGGGGAAAGAAGCACGGGCUAACUACGU